rnacentral:rRNA from 1 species
GACGAACGCUGGCGGCGUGCUUAACACAUGCAAGUCGAACGGAAAGGCCCUGCUUUUGUGCGGUGCUCGAGUGGCGAACGGGUGAGUAACACGUGAGUAACCUGCCCUUGACUUUGGGAUAACUUCAGGAAACUGGGGCUAAUACCAGAUAGGAGCUCCUGCUGCAUGGUGGGGGUUGGAAAGUUUCGGCGGUUGGGGAUGGACUCGCGGCUUAUCAGCUUGUUGGUGGGGUAGUGGCUUACCAAGGCUUUGACGGGUAGCCGGCCUGAGAGGGUGACCGGCCACAUUGGGACUGAGAUACGGCCCAGACUCCUACGGGAGGCAGCAGUGGGGAAUAUUGCACAAUGGGCGGAAGCCUGAUGCAGCAACGCCGCGUGCGGGAUGACGGCCUUCGGGUUGUAAACCGCUUUCGCCUGUGACGAAGCGUGAGUGACGGUAAUGGGUAAAGAAGCACCGGCUAACUACGUG